GCGGCCAUAGUUUAGGGGUAUGACGGCUCCUUGCCAAGGAGCAGACGCGAGUUCGAUUCUCGCUGGCCGCA
rnacentral:tRNA from 1 species